UUUCUGGAUAUCUAGUCAUAUCUUCUUUGCUAUUAGUGCUUCUGUUAUUUUUAUUUUUUAAAAUUAUUUUUUUAAAAGAAAUAUUUAUUUAUUUUAGACAGAGCAUGGUCACAAAAGCUGAGGGAGGGGCAGAGGGAGAGAGAGAAUCCCAUGCAGAUUCCCAGCUGAACAUCUCGCCGGACAUGUGGCUUGAUCUCAUGAACCUGAGAUCACAACCCAAGCCAAAACCAAGAGCAGGAUGCUCAACUUACUGAGCCUCCCAGAUAAAUGAGUCGAACCUGUUGAUGAACAUGUGCGCCUGAUUUUAAAGAGCCAGUGAAAAACCAAAGAGGCAGACUUGGAAAAAAGAAAACCAACCAACAAGCUUGUUAUUUGGAUAACAUGAGAGCAGACUAUGAAACCUGGAAUAAGGAGAUAGAGGAAAAGCAGUAGGACUUUUGGGGAAGUAAAGCUGCAGUACAUAAUCCUACUUAAGCCGGUGCAUGGAGGUUUGGAUGAAGAAACAGAGUCACAGAGGGGUUAAGCAACUUGCCCAAGAUCACAGAGCUAAUAAGCAAUCAUAAAUGUGAG